rnacentral:rRNA from 1 species
AUGAGAGAGGAGGUCAGGNNNNNNNNNNNNNNNNNNNNNNNNNNNNNNNNNNNNNNNNNNNNNNNNNNNNNNNNNNNNNNNNNUUCUGCCGGUGCUUCAUCUCCUCCCGCGCAAACAAAUGUAGCUACCAUAGAUUGGUUAGGCAGCGAGCAGUUAUCUAAAGUUGGGUCAUCGUCCCAUGUUGCUUCACAUGCUGCUCAGCCAUCUCUUAGUACUAAUGCUGUUGGUGCUGCUAUGGAUUUUUCGCAACCAUCAUAUAGACCAUGGGAACGAGGAGAUUUACUUCAUCGACUGGCCACAUUUAAGCCUUCAACAUGGGCUUCUAAACCAAAGGCUGCUAGUUCACUGGCCUGUGCUCAAAGGGGCUGGGUGAACAUUGGUGUGGACAAAAUUGAAUGCGACUCAUGUGGCGCACAUCUGAUAUUUACUGCAUUGACAUCCUGGUCCCCCGCUGAAGUUGCAAAUGCUGGAGAAGCCUUUGCUGAACAGCUUGAUGCAUCGCACCAGAAUGAUUGUCCCUGGAGAGGGAAUAGCUGUGCUGAUAGCUUGGUGCAGCUCCACUUCACACCAUCAGCUCUUCUUGGUGGUUUUAAAGACCGCUGUGAGGGGCUGUUGCAGUUUAUAUCUCUCCCUGUUAUUGCCUCGUCUGCAAUAGAGAGUAUGAAACUCACUAGGAGUCAGCAGAUUGAACAUGUCUUAUCCCAAUCAAUCGCAAUUCUGUGUGGGGAGCUGGGUUACAAAACAGAUGGUACAACAGGAAUUGAUGUCAAUCAUCAAGACGAAACCUGCAGUUACUCUCAAGCGCAGAAGCUUAUUAGCCUUUGUGGAUGGGAACCUAGAUGGCUUCCGAACGUACAAGACUGGGAAGAAAAUUCAACCCACUCUGCAAAAAAUGCAGCCUCAGCUGAACCAGAUAAAUGCUCCCGCUUUCCUGAGCAUCAGCAAAAUUCAUACUCUACAUCAGUCAAGAAAGAUAAGGGGAAAGGCAAACUACGUGUAAAAGAUUCUGGAUGCAGCAUGAGGUCACCUUUGCUGGAUUGCAGCUUAUGUGGAGCUACAGUGAGAAUCUGGGACUUCAGAUCCGUUCCACGUCCUUCUCAUCUUAAUCUCGGCAACAUUGAUGCACCUGAUGCAGGGACUAAACCCAUGUUGGCACGUGGAAUUAGUGCUACGAGUGGGAUCAAUGGAUGGGUUGCUGAAGGACGUGAUGAGGCAUGCAUUGUUGAGGGAAAAUCAUUGUCAAAUGCUCCGGUUGACCUAAAUCUGACAAUGGCAGGAGGAUUGCCACCAACCCAUUCUGGGAUGCUCUCAAUGCCUGAAAAUUUCAAGAAUGAGGGGAUGGGAAUAGAUCUGAUGAUCGGUCAGCCUACCGGGAGUGAGAUUGGUGGCUAUGCAGCCUCAUUUGAAUCUCGUGGCCCCAGUUCGAGGAAGCGUAAUCUGGAGGAAGGUGGGAGUACAGCUGAUAAGCCAAUAAACAGGCUUCAGCCUGCUGACAGUAUAGAAGGAACUGUAAUUGACCGCGACGGUGAUGAAGUUGAUGAUGCUGUACAAAACUCAGAUAUUCGGAACAAAAGGCCUCGUGGCUUUAAUCUUUUUGAUGUCAAUCGUCCAUCUUCUUCCGGAGCUGGUCCCAGCAGAAAUUUAAGUCUUGAGCUGGAUAUAGAUGUCAACAGAUUUGAGCCAUCUAAAGAGGGUCCAUCUAUCCUUCGCAACUCGUCUGCUAGAGACUCCAUGAGGGCAUCUUCUGUUAUUGCAAUGAAUAUUAUUCACGGUGCGGAGGAAAAUUCAAUGGAGAGUGUUGAAUACCAUCCAUGUGAUGGUGAUGAUGUUGAGAAGCCUUCAAGUGCACUCAGGAGUGGUGGAAUGAGUGACACAUUGGAUCUCAAUUAUAGCAACCAAGCACAGGAAAGCAAUUUUGUACAGCCUGCUGCUGACAGUAAUGCAAGAGAUAUAGGAGGGAGUAGUAUGAAUGGAGGGGAAGAAGUCCUCAAUGCAGAAACAGCUCCUGCUUUUGCUAGGGAUCAACUUAGCAUUGGAGUUAGCGGAGGCAGUGUUGGGAUGGGUGCUAGUCAUGAAGCCGAAAUUCAUGGAGUUGAGGUUUCUGAACAUAAAACUGAGAGUGUUGUCGGAGAUGUGGAACCAGUUCCCGAGCUUACUGAAACCAUGGGGCAUACUGGUGAGUCAGCUCCUGGACCUGGAAUAAUGGAUGAGUUUGUCCCUGGAGAUGCUGGUCGAGAAGAGCCUCAGGGUGAUAGCCACGAUAUGGCAUCUCGGUUAGUGGGUCGAGUUGACAGUGGUUCAACUAAAGCUGAUUCGGUCGAGAGUGGAGAGAAGAUGAGCCAUGCCAGAGGCCAGGAGAGUAACAUACAACAUUCCCUUUCUUGCAAUGCAAGAGUUUAUUCUGGCAUUGAUUUAUCUAAAGAUGAAGUGACUCAGACUGGUAAAAUGCUGACCAAGGACGAGUAUGACCCAGGAAAUGAUCUUGGAGCAACGAAUGGAGAGAAUGAUUAUGAAACGGGUCUUCCAGAAUUUGAUCCAAUUAAGCAUCACAACAACUAUUGUCCAUGGGUAAAUGGAUAUGUUGCCAUUGCUUGCACUAUGAAUACUGGUUCCAGCACAAAUAGUGCAGCAUUUUGUGGCUGGCAGCUUACAGUAGAUGCACUUGAGACUGUCCAGUCUCUUGGCCAGAACCAAUAUCAAGCCAUGAGGUCUGAUUCUGCGGCGUCACUGUAUAAGGAUGACCAUGCUGCACCUAGCCACAAGCUGCUGAAAAGGCCAAAACACAGCAAGUGCUAA